ACAUGAAGCCGGAAUCGCUAGUAAUCGCGGAUCAGAAUGCCGCGGUGAAUACGUUCCCGGGUCUUGUACACACCGCCCGUCACACCAUGGGAGCCGGAAAUGCCCGAAGCCAGUGACCCAACCUUAGGGAGGGAGCUGUCGAAGGUGGAGCCGGUAACUGGGGUGAAGUCGUAACAAGGUACC
rnacentral:rRNA from 1 species